GAGUGGCGAACGGGUGAGUAACACGUGGAUAAUCUUCCUUCAGGAUGGGGACAACCGCUGGAAACGGCGGCUAAUACCGAAUAAGAUGGUAGUCAUACAAGUGACAGCCAUUAAAGGAUGGGGACCUUCGGGCCUAUCGCCUGAAGAUGAGUCCGCGGCCCAUUAGCUAGUUGGUAGGGUAACGGCCUACCAAGGCAAAGACGGGUAGGGGGUGUGAGAGCACGGCCCCCCACAAUGGGACUGGAACACGGCCCAUACUCCUACGGGAGGCAGCAGCAGGGAAUAUUGCGCAAUGGGCGAAAGCCUGACGCAGCGACGCCGCGUGAGUGAAGACGGCUUUCGAGUUGUAAAACUCUUUUCUGGGGGAAGAGGAAGGACGGUACCCGAGGAAUAAGCGUCGGCUAACUACGUGCCAGCAGCCGCGGUAAGACGUAGGACGCGAGCGUUAUCCGGAUUUACUGGGCGUAAAGCGCCUGUAGGCGGCUUUGUAAGUUGGGCGUGAAAGCCCCGUGCUUAACGCGGGGAGGCCGUUCAAUACUGCGGAGCUAGAGUACGGCAGAGGGGAGUGGAAUUCCUGGAGUAGCGGUAAAAUGCGCAGAUAUCAGGAGGAACACCAGUGGCGAAGGCGGCUCCCUGGGCCGAGACUGACGCUCAGAGGCGAAAGCUAGGGGAGCGAACAGGAUUAGAGACCCUGGUAGUCCUAGCCCUAAACGAUGGAUGCUAGGUGUGGGGGCGAUGAGUUUCCGUGCCGGAGCAAACGCGAUAAGCAUCCCGCCUGGGGACUACGGCCGCAAGGUUAAAACUCAAACGAAUUGACGGGGGCCCGCACAAGCAGCGGAGCGUGUGGUUUAAUUCGAUGCUACACGAAGAACCUUACCUGGGUUUGACAUGUAGGUGGUAGCGAGGCGAAAGCUGAGCGACCCUUCGGGGAGCCUACACAGGUGCUGCAUGGCUGUCGUCAGCUCGUGCCGUGAGGUGUCGGGUUAAGUCCCGUAACGAGCGCAACCCUUGCUCCUAGUUAUACGUGUCUAGGGGGACUGCCGGCGGGAAGCCGGAGGAAGGUGGGGAUGACGUCAAGUCAGCAUGGCCCUUAUGUCCAGGGCUACACACACGC
rnacentral:rRNA from 1 species